CAAAGGUUGACCUCGGAUCAGGUAGGAAUACCCGCUGAACUUAAGCAUAUCAAUAAGCGGAGGA
rnacentral:rRNA from 1 species